GGGGCGGGCGGACGGACGCUAGACAGACGGACUGAGGACACAAGAAGCUGUUAGGUCUUCUGGCAGAGAGUCAAGGUGGCCAAACUAGACGAGCCAGUCGUAAACAGACCACCAGGCUUCUCCCCACAGCUGGGGUCCUCGGAGGAGGCCCGCCAACUUCCCUUCCCUGCCUGUCAUGGGAACCAGAGGCUGCUGCUCUCCUUGCUUGGGAGGAAGGAACCUGGGGAGGGCCUUCCUGUACUCGCUCAUCACACGGAAGACAGGGUCCCACACUGGCCUGGAGCACUGCCACACAGGGCAGGCUGGCUGAUGGGCGCUCCCAGGCUGCUGUCUCCUCCACCUGCCAUCUCUUUAUCGCUGGGAUUACCAUGUGCACCACAGAGAUAACCACGGGUCCUGGGACCUAAGCUAACCUAGGCCUGUAAGUAAGAUCAGAGCUUUACCGACAGAGCAACCUACUCAGCCAUCUACACAGACUUCUUCCCCCCCACCCCCCACGUGUUCCCAGUCGGCCUCGCUCCCCUCACAGCUCUCUGUCCCUGUCUGUCUGCCUUUACCCCUUCGCUCCUUCCCUUCUCCUGAAUAAUCCUCCUUUAUACCAGGUCUGUGGCAUGGUGUGGCCUCUCAGGUGACACCUUGGCAUAAGCCUGCUGGGUACCGCCCUCCCACUGCAAUACAUUUUAUAUCACAGCUCUUGCCCACCUGUCUUCCAGGGACCAUUGCCCAUAGCCUCGACAUGAAGGAAGUGAGCACACAAGACACUGAGCCCUGCUGUGUCCCAGCUGUGCUCCACUGCAAGGACAGGCCACAAGCCACAGUCAACUGCAAACACACUGAGGUAGUCCUGCAGCUGGCCUGCUGCGUCAUGAACAACUGGACACGUUGGGUUCAAUUCUUUACCUGGCAAUUUCACACUUGUUGACGUCAAGGCCCCGCUUGGGCAUGUAGCCCAUCCCUCGCUGAGGCUCCUUGCUGCUGAAUGUGUUGAGGUAGUGGACAUAUGGGGAUUCAUCCGUGAUCUCAAAAUAGCGGAUACUGCUGUCACCCUGAGAACCAGAGACAAGUCAGUGCCCACAGUGAUGCAGACAUUUUCUUUAAGUGGGUGGUACUCACACCACCCAGAGUUCAUGGAAACCUAACUUCAGUAGCUGUGCACUGCUCCUCUAAGCACAUCUGCCUGAAUUACAAGCCACUGUUUCCCCUUCUUCCUGAGAAUUCUCCAGCACUUCCUGUAGAGGGCUCCCAUGCCUCUCCUCUCCUGGGCCUAGAAAUCAGGUCAGGGUCAGGGCAAGAGAGCGAGUGGCGCACAACUGCCCUGAGCACCAGCUUCAGAAGUCAAGCAAGCAAAGCCAAGCGGCUGAGAGCGCAGCUGCACACCCGAAGCCUUACUCCCGGGCCCCAGGAACGACAGGCAACCAGGGGCGAUCAAUACAGGGUCUCUCUAGAAGAAGCAGCAGCAGCGUUUCAACUGUUUCCUCUAACUCUGGACAGCACCAAAGGCUCUCAGGGCAGUGAAUGAAACCCCAUGGUUAGGCUGGAGAGAUGGCUGAGAGGUUAGGAACACUGGCUGUUCUUCCAGAGGUCCUGAGUUCAAUUCCCAGAAACCACAUGGUGGUUGACAACCAUCUGUAAUGGGAUGUACACUCAGGUGUACAUGCAAAUAGAGCACUCAUUCAUAGAUAGAUAGAUAGAUAGAUAGAUAGAUAGAUAGAUAGAUAGAUAGAUAGAUAGAUAGAUAGAUAAAAAAACAAAACAAAAGCUUGCGGUCAUCAUGUUUGAAGUGGUCAGCUAUUUUUUUGGCAAGCUACCCAAUGCCAGCAACCUAGUGUGAAAGAGGACAAGCUUUCAGCAUGAACGUGCUCUUACACACACACACUCACUCACUCACUCACACACUUUAACAUUAAAUAUGUCAGUUACACUGCCUAGCUUCUAGGGUUCUGAGGACGAGCCCUGGCCCUCUUCGGCUGGCCUGACAGCAGACGCCGUUUACCUUCCCACAUAAGUAGAUGAUGCUGGUGUCCGGAUCGUAGAAGGGGAGCAGCACCCCAUUGCUAGUGUCCAUUUCAUGGAGAGCAAUUGGUUCCUGCAUGUUUUUCUGAAAAUAAGUUAAAAAAUACACAUAAACACACACACAACACACAUAUAUACAUUUUAAAAAUACCAGCAGAACUUCAAGUCUGAGCAAACACGGGUGACUUCGUGCAUGUAAAUACAGGUGACCUCAUGCAUGCAAACACUGUAAAUCAAACUCCCUGACGAUCAAUGCAGACAUCAUUAUGGGUCCACAACAAAAACCAUCUCUUUUGAGAUGUUUUCUUUUUGAAAAAGAUUUUUGUUUUUAAAGGACAGCCUGGGAAUUCCAGGCCAACCGUGUGUGUGUGUGUGUGUGUGUGUGUGUGUGUGUGUGUGUGUGUGUGCGCAUAAGUGUAGUGUAGUUGCCUGCUGGGGACAGAAGAGGGCAUCCAAUCCCCUGGAGCUGCAGCUGUGACCAUAGGUGACAUAAUGUUCUUGACCCGAGCCAUUUCUCUCCAGCCACCACUUUCUCAUUAUAAAGAAUGGCACGCUGGGGGUGGUGGCGCACGCCUUUAAUCCCAGUACUCGGGAGGCAGAGGCAGGCGAUUUCUGAGUUCGAGGCCAGCCUGGUCUACAGAGUGAGUUCCAGGACAGCCAGGGCUACACAGAGAAACCCUGUCUCAAAAAAACCAAAAAAAAAAAAAAAAAAAAAAAAAAAAAGAAAGAAAGAAUGACACACAUUGAGCAGGACUGUGUGCUCCGUCCCUGUGAGGUCUAAGCACCAGUGGAAACCCUGGAGCCCCUUGAGUGCAGGCCUAAGGUGCACUGCUUGCCUGAGCCCCACUGAGGACGAGACCCUCCUGCUAACUUAAGACAGCAAGAGCACAGAGAAUCACACUGAGGAGCCUGUGACCCCCUCUGCCAGCCCAAAGCCCCACUCAAGCUGACAGAAACUUGGAAAGGGAGGAAACUGGCUUACUGGGUUCCAGAGCGCCAACUGCCGCUCGCUCAUGCGGCUAAAGCCAGUAGUGAAGACGUUGCCGUCCGCCAGGAAGAUGGCACGCAUAGGCCUGGCUCCUUCGUGUGCUUUCUCCUUCUCCUGGGAAGGGGGCGGGGGAAGCAGAUGCAGAUUUCACACACUUACAUUCACUGUGCAAAGCCCCCAACCCCACACACAGGCCCAGUCUGAGCUUUCCUGGGCAGGACCCUGAGGCCAAGGAGGUGCAACUGUCCCUCCUUAUGAGAAAGCAGCGUCACUGAGUGGUCUGGUCAAAAGGGCUCUGGCACACAUGUGACCUGCAGGCUGGGGGCAGCCCAUAGGUUCUCCAGCCUCACAGGACACACAGAAGGCCACUCCUAGCCUUUCCUGGUUAAUGAGCGUGCCCGAGUAGACACCCUUGGGAUAUGCUGGGUGGACAAACCGGACUUGGAAAGUCCCUGUGGUCGGUAAGACACACCGUGAUUGCUGUCCACCCUACACAGUGCUGAUAGUUAAGAUGCACCAUGAUUGCUGCCCACCCUAGAGCCUGAGGGGAUAUGCUUCUGGGCUUCUCACCCACAGCUGCAGCCCUGACAAGACCGCGUGCAUCUUCAGGCAGGGAAUGUGACUUUGCUGAAGUCCUACUGGGUGUUAGAAGCUGAGUCUCUAAGCCGACAGUAGGAGCUCCUUCCUGCAGGCCUGUAGGGCACCUGGAUAGUGUUCUUGGGUCAGGUGGGCAUCAACUGGGGUGUGGUCAGUGUAGACCCCUGACAGUCUGGCUGAGCUCAUCCAGGCCUGCAAAGCCCCGAGGGCACUCUAAGCUGUUUAAAGCACUGCUGGAACAUGUGUGGUAGUGCGCACCUUUAAUCCCAACACUUGGAGGCAGAGCCCGGUGCACUUCUGUGCUCCAGGCCAGCCUGGGCUAUUCUGACUAAGGUCACCAUGAGGGGACAGAGCUGAGCUAAGGCUGGACAACUAGAGAGACCAGAAACUUGGGCAGCCACCUCCCUACUCAUUUGAUGCCCACACUCCACAAGGACAGCGUGGCUUCUGUGUGGCAGCCUUCAGAGCCCAGGAAAGGCUACUGACCGGCCACCAGGGCUGUGUGCUGGACACACUCACCGCCACAAUCUCCUGUUUCCUGGGGUCAAUGACUCUCACUUUCUUGUCUUUGGAUGCGGUGCAGAUGAGACUACCGUUACGGCUCCAGCUCACAUUGUAAAUCAUGUCUGAAUGCAUAUCGUCCAAGUUGAUGAGGGCUUCCCCUGUCCCCACGUUCCAGAUGAUAAUGGCAUUAUCACAGCCUGUCACAAGCAGAUCAGUCACCAGGUGGGAAGGGCCCACAGAGCAUGCCAGAGAAAGCAGCCAGCCCCACAGGGACAGAAGCAUGGGAGGGAAGGUGCUAGAGACAAGAGGCCCCGCCUACUAGGCUGGAGUGAUGUGAUCUCUGUAAAUGAACACUUUAAAGCCAGCCCCAUGAGAGCCUCUGUCAACCCAACAAGAAGCUCAGCACAACAGAAGUCCCCUGGGGGUCAGCUGGACUAAUGGAGCCAGGCGGUCUGUCUCCUUGGCUUGCACAAGGCGAACAGGAAAAGGGUGAGCUGCAUGGUCCCCACAGGUCCUUUCUGCCAUGCUGCCCCUCAGCUAGCUUCCCAGCCCAUGACCUGCUCUGGAGGUCAUCAGAGGGCUGGGGGGGGGGGUCAACAGUGGCUAAGCUGGCACCUUACAAUGCCUUCUGUAUCAGUAGACGCCCGCCUGGCAUUACAUUCCUAACCUCACACACCACAAACAGCUCCUAUCCUUAGUUACAAACUGAUCUGGCCAACUUGCAGAAAUACAUUAAAACAAAACAAACCAGUAUUGUUAAGGUGUAAUUCACAAUAACCAUUACAUAUAUCUAGGUAAGUUCUGACAAAUGCCUAUACCAAGAGAAAGCUUACUGCCAUCACCCCGAAAGCUUUCUGUAUUCAUAUAUGCAUGCGUGUGUGCUUGGCCCCGCCGUGUAAAGGCCAGAGGGUGCGUCUUUAUUGAAGUAGCCUCUCACUGGCCUGGCCUGCCAACCCAUGCCAGGGAACUGCCUUUCCUUCUCUGCUUCCGCGGCACUGGGAUAACAAAGCUCACCAGCAUGUCAGGCUUCCCUAACACAGGUUCUGAAGCCCUGUAUUGAAUGAGUCACGUCCCCAGCAGGCUGGGCCAGCCUUAAACUUACUGAGCCACCAUACCUAGUUGAUGUGUUGCUUUUAGGAAAAAGAAAGGGAGGGAGGGAAAAGAACGAAUGCACGAAUGAAUGAAUAUAAAAUUUGAGCAAAGGCAAAAAUUUCUGUAAGAUGAACUUGGAAAUCAUGCCACAAGAAGCGGGUGAGUAGAGAGACAGAAAGUGCCAGGGUUCACUGUGGAGCAGUCUAACAGAAAAAUUCAAAAGCAGCAUUGGUGUUCAGAGCCGGGAGCUGAGCAGACAGGCUGAACUUUGCCAGCAGGACAGUGUGGGCGAGGACAGCAUGGCCCGUGGGAAGGCGCUGGAGCACACACAUCAAGGUCCAAACCCAGGUGUUUGGAGUCUGCCAUAGCUCCUCGGUGCUCCAGUGGGGUCCCACCCAUCCCCCCAUCACAGGGUGAGGGCAAAGCAGCCUCUGGGCUCCUACCUGCACUGAGAAGCACAUUGCGGGCCGUCGGGUGCCAGGCCACGAUGCCAACUCUUUUUGAGUGCCCUUCUAGAAUCACCACAGGCUCGGUCAGGGAAAGGGUGAGUCCAUUUUCCGGGAUCUGCCAAACC